UACAUGCAAUAUAUAUGUAAGCUUUAAUUUGAGAAAAGUGAAUACAGUUAAAGUUUGUUUACGUUAUAUAAUUAUUGUGUCAAAGGAUAAAAUCGCAUUUUCUGAAAAACAGGAUCUACGAAAGUCCAUGCAUGAACGGCACUGAAGCAGACAUGCUCUAUUUGUCCGGAUAAUCUAAUUCUGAACGUUCAUGAAAGAACACACAAAUGAAAAUAAAAAGAAAACCUUUU
rnacentral:lncRNA from 1 species